UAGGGAAUCUUCCGCAAUGGACGCAAGUCUGACGGAGCAACGCCGCGUGAGUGAAGAAGGUUUUCGGAUCGUAAAACUCUGUUGUAAGAGAAGAACAAAUUGUAGAGUAACUGCUACAGUCUUGACGGUAUCUUACCAGAAAGCCACGGCUAACUACGUGCCAGCAGCCGCGGUAAUACGUAGGUGGCAAGCGUUGUCCGGAUUUAUUGGGCGUAAAGGGGGCGCAGGCUGCUUCUUAAGUCUGAUGUGAAAGCCCACGGCUUAACCGUGGAAGUGUAUUGGAAACUGGGAAGCUUGAGUACAGGAGAGAAAAGUGGAAUUCCUAGUGUAGCGGUGAAAUGCGUAGAGAUUAGGAGGAACACCGGUGGCGAAAGCGGCUUUUUGGCCUGCAACUGACACUGAGGCGCGAAAGCGUGGGGAGCAAACAGG
rnacentral:rRNA from 1 species